rnacentral:rRNA from 1 species
ACAAUGGAGAGUUUGAUCUUGGCUCAGGAUGAACGCUAGCGGCAGGCCUAAUACAUGCAAGUCGAACGGUGGCAGCAAUGCCAUAGUGGCGCACGGGUGCGUAACGCGUAACCAACCUACCCGAAUCUGGGGGAUAGCCCGCCGAAAGGCGGAUUAAUACCGCAUAAAACUGCAGUGUGGCAUCACAUAACAGUUAAAGAUUUAU